rnacentral:rRNA from 1 species
AUUGAACGCUGGCGGCAGGCUUAACACAUGCAAGUCGAGCGGGGGAAGGUAGCUUGCUACUGGACCUAGCGGCGGACGGGUGAGUAAUGCUUAGGAAUCUGCCUAUUAGUGGGGGACAACAUUCCGAAAGGGAUGCUAAUACCGCAUACGCCCUACGGGGGAAAGCAGGGGAUCUUCGGACCUUGCGCUAAUAGAUGAGCCUAAGUCGGAUUAGCUAGUUGGUGGGGUAAAGGCCUACCAAGGCGACGAUCUGUAGCGGGUCUGAGAGGAUGAUCCGCCACACUGGGACUGAGACACGGCCCAGACUCCUACGGGAGGCAGCAGUGGGGAAUAUUGGACAAUGGGGGGAACCCUGAUCCAGCCAUGCCGCGUGUGUGAAGAAGGCCUUUUGGUUGUAAAGCACUUUAAGCGAGGAGGAGGCGCUCUAGGCUAAUACCCUAGAUGCGUGGACGUACUCGCAGAUAAGCC